rnacentral:rRNA from 1 species
CCAAUAGCGUAUAUUAAAGUUGUUGCAGUUAAAAAGCUCGUAGUUGAAUUUCGGGAUCAAUACGUCGGUCGUGCUUCGGUACGUACUGGCGUCAUUGAUUUCUCCCUUCUGACGAACCAUGAUGUCAUUAACUUGGUGUCUUGGGAAAUCAGGACUGUUAACUUUGAAAAAUUAGAGUGUUUAAAGCAGGCUCACGCUUGAAUACAUUAGCAUGGAAUAAUGAAAUAGGACGUUCGAUCCUAUUUUGUUGGUUUUAGGAUCAACGUAAUGAUUAAUAGGGAUAGUUGGGGGCAUUAGUAUUCAAUUGUCAGAGGUGAAAUUCUUGGAUUUAUUGAAGACUAACUACUGCGAAAGCAUUUGCCAAGGAUGUUUUCAUUAAUCAAGAACGAAAGUUAGGGGAUCGAAGACGAUCAGAUACCGUCGUAGUCUUAACCAUAAACUAUGCCGACUAGGGAUCGGAUGAUGUUAAUUUUUAAUGACUCAUUCGGCGCCUUACGGGAAA